GGGAAUUUUCCGCAAUGGGCGAAAGCCUGACGGAGCAAUCCCGCGUGCAGGAUGACACCUUUCGGGGCGUAAACUGCUUUUCUGAGGGAAGAAAUUCUGACGGUACCUCAGGAAUAAAGGGCGGCUAAUUACGUGCCAGCAGCCGCGGUAAUACGUAAGCCCUAAGCGUUAUCCGGAAUUAUUGGGCGUAAAGCGUUCGAAGGCGGAUCAGUCAGUCCGACGUUAAAUACCUACGGCUCAACCGAGGUUUCGUGUCGGAAACUGCUGGACUAGAGUAGUGCAGAGGCAGGUAGAAUUCCCAUUGUAGGGGUAAAAUCCGUAGAUAAUGGGAGGAAUACCAAAAGCGAAGGCAGCCUGCUGGGCACUUACUGAUCGCUGUGCGAACGAAAGCGUGGGGAGCAAAAGGGAUUAGAUACCCCUGUAGUCA
rnacentral:rRNA from 1 species